GACGAACGCUGGCGGCGUGCCUAAUACAUGCAAGUCGAGCGGACAGAUGGGAGCUUGCUCCCUGAUGUYAGCGGCGGACGGGUGAGUAACACGUGGGUAACCUGCCUGUAAGACUGGGAUAACUCCGGGAAACCGGGGCUAAUACCGGAUGCUUGAUUGAACCGCAUGGUUCAAUUAUAAAAGGUGGCUUUUAGCUACCACUUACAGAUGGACCCGCGGCGCAUUAGCUAGUUGGUGAGGUAACGGCUCACCAAGGCAACGAUGCGUAGCCGACCUGAGAGGGUGAUCGGCCACACUGGGACUGAGACACGGCCCAGACUCCUACGGGAGGCAGCAGUAGGGAAUCUUCCGCAAUGGACGAAAGUCUGACGGAGCAACGCCGCGUGAGUGAUGAAGGUUU
rnacentral:rRNA from 1 species